rnacentral:tRNA from 1 species
CUUCCGGGCCCAUACCCCGAAAAUGUCCACCGGGCCUUUACUA